CUUGGAUAAUAACUAAAGCUGGAAUCUGAUGAAUACUCCCUUUGUUUCUUCUCAAGGUGAGUGAGAAAUAUUGACUUUUAAGAAAUGUACCUGCUUGGGGCAUUCUGCCCAACAGACUGUGGGAUGAUCCAAGGUCAGGAGGCAGGAGCCUUGGGCCCUCAACCAGCUGAUGACUGGAAGGGCCCUCACCCCCAUCACCGUCUUCCUGCCUGAUUUCUCUUCCAUAUUUGACAUGAGAAAGAAGCAAGAAGUUGAAGAUGUUAUUUAUGGUUCGAAGUAGCUGAGAUUCUUAGCAGAUAGAGGUAAGUUUGAAAGUCAUUCCGACUAAUCCUUUCCAUACUAUGUGCAUGUGCUUGGGGAAGCAAUGAGGACAUGUACCGUGGCUCCCGAAGAUUCCAAGCCCAUUGCAAACAGAAGAAGCAAGACACAACCAGCUCACUUCAGCUGUCAGAUUCACAAAGUAGGCUGGAGAGAGUUAAUUCCAAAAGGGGGCUGAGCCGGCUGGUAUCUUAUGGGCCAAGGUUCCAUACAGGGAGAUGGAAGAACCCGGCGGAGGAACCAUGCACGACUUACAAUACAGGAAAGGCAGAAUUCUAUGCCUGCAGGUGGGGGCAAAGAUGAGCUGAGGAAAAUGGGGCAAAAGGGUUGCCUCAUUCAGGGUUGGAUGUCAGGACCCCAGGUUCUACCCUGUAUGUUUUCUGACCCUAUGUUACCCGGUUACCAAAAAGGCAAAGGAAAUUAGGAAGGGUCUGAAACUCCAUCAAGUAUGGUAGAGCAGUAGGGUUGGCAAAUUCUAGUUUUGAAUUGAGUAGCAUAACUGAGCAUUAAUUUUCUUACUAUUUCUGUAACUGCAAACAGCCCCAAUCAUUUGAGCAAGUCUGUGUCAUGACUUUGGAGGACCUGGAUAUUCUUGGCAAUGUUGGUGUGCUACAGAUUUCAGUGAUUCAGGAGUACACUGUACCAUUCUAAACCCCUUGUCUUCAAUUUGUCUCCCAAUAAUAAAUAAUGUAAACAAUACUAAAAUUAAAUGAAAGCCAAUUUUACAAGAAAACAAACAAAACCCUAAACAUUAAAAUGACAGAAGAGUCCCCAAACAGAAUAGAAAGCCCGGGAGUAGUGGCCUCACCAUGGUAAAUCAUCGGUACAAACAGGUUCUAAUAAACCAUUCAGUGUGAUAAAGGGGCACUAUUAAGUUACAAAGCCCAGAAGGCUCUGCCAUUGCUUCUACCAUGGAGUGAAUAGGUUAAAAAACUUUAAAUGGGAUUGCCAAGGCUUUCUACAGUGAAAAUGUUGUACCAUCAGCAGAUAAUAUGCCUUUAGUAAUGUAUCCGAAAGGACACUAAUACAAAUUAGAAGUAUCUAUGAGGUUAGACAAUCUGGUUUGGCUCAUUCAAAAAAUUAGAGAGGCAUAGCUGGAAAGAAAACAAGUUUUAGAGAAAAAGAUCCUAAUAAAAGCCUUUUUGGGAUAAUGGCAUUAAAUUUUCCAAUUGAGUAGAAGCUUCUAAAAGAAAAGCAACUUGUCAAUGUUCGUUUAAUAACAUUUUUUGGUACCUCCAGUGUGCUAGACACUGCUCAGUACUGCUGUCCUGUGAAUGUUGCUGUGUUUGUUCAUAAUGUAAACUACUAUACAUCCAAACUGGGCAGUUACUGUUUCUUUCAUGUUGUUUCAUGCAAAGCUUCAAAGUAAAAAGGCCACUCUAAAAAAAGUUUUGAUUCAUUAUUUUGACAUUCCUUGUCUGUAUGAUUUAAACCCCUUUCUAAUCUUUAGCUCAAGAAGGUCAACAGAAAAGAAAUGCAUUCAGGAAACUAACAUUUUUAUAUCUGAAUUGUUAGUCUUGUCAGCAUUAUGUAAGAGAUAAGACAAUUUAUCUCUAAAAUUAUCUUAUAGGUAUUACCUGAUGACCUGACAUGGGAUUUAGUAACAAUAUUUGAAAAUGAAGUUAAGAAAGAGUGUGAAAUACUCUGUAUUAUUUUUAUAUAAUCUCC
rnacentral:lncRNA from 1 species